UACGAAGGGGGCUAGCGUUGUUCGGAAUUACUGGGCGUAAAGCGCGCGCAGGCGGCUAUCCAAGUCAGUGGUGAAAGCCCGGAGCUCAACUCCGGAACUGCCUUGAAACUGUUUAGCUUGAGGACGAGAGAGGUGAGUGGAAUUCCCAGUGUAGAGGUGAAAUUCGUAGAUAUUGGGAAGAACACCGGUGGCGAAGGCGGCUCACUGGCUCGUAUCUGACGCUCAGGCGCGACAGCGUGGGGAUCAAACAGG
rnacentral:rRNA from 1 species